AACUGGACGUUAAGUAACACCGUGGACAAUAAUCCAGUGAAAACCUAACCCAAAUCAAUACAUCAAGUGUUUUUCCAUCAAUGAGAUUUCAUCUCAUUCUCCCAUUCACCUGAAACGAUAGAAAAAAAGAAAUAAAAGAAGCUCCUGGUGCUGAUUCAGAUCGAGAAAUAGGCAGAGAUUGAGAGAUUAAAGAGAGAGAUUAAGAGUGAAUCUGAAAUUCUGAUGAUCUCGAUGGUGUUCGAUUAAAGAGUUAAUGGUCUUGUGGAUGAUGUUUCGAUCGAUGUUUGGUGAUUUAGGGUUUAAAAAGAAAUUGCAGAUGAAUCUGAAGAGGGAAUCGGAGCUGAAAUUGAUAUGGGUUUGUCGAGAUAAGGGUUAGACUUAUCAAUUCCACAGUAAUCUUCCUGUUUCCCAUUCUCAGCUCCGGAGGGAAAAAUAUAUGUGGUUUUUAAGCUUUGACUCUCCGUUAAUCUGAAAUGUUCGGAAUUGAACUUUCUCCGAUAAUGGGGCAAUGCCUUGGGAGAGACUAUCAAAGAUAAUGGGGCGUGGAGGCUUGGGGUUUUCUUGAUUUGGAUUCUGUGUAUGGCAAUGACGGCUUGAUUUUCAGUUAAUAACUUGGGGCAGUAUUCGGUCCAGCAUAAGCCGGAUUUGAAAUUUUUGUAACACGUCUCAUGAAAUGCUUUCUACUAAGGACGGGCGAGGAGAAGCGGAGCCACACCAAAUUAAAAAUCAUAAACUAUGGACGAGGCGAAGCCGAGCCAUACCAAAUCAAAAAUAAAAGACAUGUUUUCGUCCAGCAUCAAAGUCACGCAAGACCAAAAUAAAAAAUGCAUCAAAACGGGGUGGGGCGAAGCAGCGACACCAAAUAAAAAAUGCAUCGAGACAGGCAAAUGCUACGGGACAAGGCGAAUAAGAAUAUCAAAAAUCAUAAAUUCAUCGCAAUGAGGGGGCAAAGCCCCGCGACACCGAAUAAAAAAAGAUGAUAGCGGAUGGUUUACGGACCUGCCUGAUGCGGGCACAAAAUAUAGCAACUUGUAAUGGUUCCUAACCAAUUUGCACGACCAAUAUUUAGUCUUUAGAGCAAAUCUUAUGGGUAGUGUCACCCUUUCAAAUGAAAGAGGGCACUACCAAUUUGAGCAGAUUUGAGGCUCAUAUGGGUAGUUUUUACCCCACUUUUUCUCCAAACACGUUCAUGCACUCGUUCAACUGAAUGAGUGGUUGGUAGUGAAACGUCAAAAAAAUUUAGAACUUUUUUUAGUUUUUUUUUCUUUUUUGACUUGGGACUAUUCUCGUUUUAGGAGUUUUUUUAGUUUUAUCUUUUUUUGACGGGGAAAGUCCCUCGUUUUAGGAGAUUAGUUUUUUUUUUCUUUUUUUUGACGGGGAAGGUCCCCCGUUUUUGGAGUUUUUUUAGUUUUUGUUUCUUUAACGGGAGAAAGUCUCCCGUUUAAUGUUCUCUUUCAUUUUUAUCCAUAGUGGCUUCACUGGUUCAUAUGAAAUAUGCUCUUAAGGCAUAUACUCAGAAUUAUAAGUCAUUUUACCAUUAACUUUUCUUUAAUGAAGCACAACGAUGUUUGGUUGUUGCAGCAUAUGUUUUUAGUUCGGGAUUCAUACCGAUCCAUGUCUUUAGUGUUGAUCAACGUUGUUAACCGGUAAGUAUCGACAAUGUAGUUGACGUAUUGUGAA